rnacentral:rRNA from 1 species
UACGGAGGGUGCGAGCGUUGUCCGGAAUCACUGGGCGUAAAGAGCUCGUAGGCGGUUUGUCGCGUCUGCUGUGAAAACUCGGGGCUUAACCCCGGGCCUGCAGUGGGUACGGGCAGACUAGAGUGCGGUAGGGGAGACUGGAAUUCCUGGUGUAGCGGUGAAAUGCGCAGAUAUCAGGAGGAACACCGGUGGCGAAGGCGGGUCUCUGGGCCGUAACUGACGCUGAGGAGCGAAAGCGUGGGGAGCGAACAGG